rnacentral:tRNA from 1 species
GCCUAGUUAGCUUAGUUGAUAGUGCGUCUGCCUUGUAAGCGCUAGGCCGCGGGUUCGAUUCCCGCCCGGGGCU